rnacentral:rRNA from 1 species
CCCCGUACACAAAAAUGCACAUGCUGUGAGCUCGAUGAGUAGGGCGGGACACGUGGUAUCCUGUCUGAAUAUGGGGGGACCAUCCUCCAAGGCUAAAUACUCCUGACUGACCGAUAGUGAACCAGUACCGUGAGGGAAAGGCGAAAAGAACCCCGGCGAGGGGAGUGAAAAAGAACCUGAAACCGUGUACGUACAAGCAGUGGGAGCACGCUUAGGCGUGUGACUGCGUACCUUUUGUAUAAUGGGUCAGCGACUUAUAUUCUGUAGCAAGGUUAACCGAAUAGGGGAGCCGAAGGGAAACCGAGUCUUAACUGGGCGUUAAGUUGCAGGGUAUAGACCCGAAACCCGGUGAUCUAGCCAUGGGCAGGUUGAAGGUUGGGUAACACUAACUGGAGGACCGAACCGACUAAUGUUGAAAAAUUAGCGGAUGACUUGUGGCUGGGGGUGAAAGGCCAAUCAAACCGGGAGAUAGCUGGUUCUCCCCGAAAGCUAUUUAGGUAGCGCCUCGUGAAUUCAUCUCCGGGGGUAGAGCACUGUUUCGGCAAGGGGGUCAUCCCGACUUACCAACCCGAUGCAAACUGCGAAUACCGGAGAAUGUUAUCACGGGAGACACACGGCGGGUGCUAACGUCCGUCGUGAAGAGGGAAACAACCCAGACCGCCAGCUAAGGUCCCAAAGUCAUGGUUAAGUGGGAAACGAUGUGGGAAGGCCCAGACAGCCAGGAUGUUGGCUUAGAAGCAGCCAUCAUUUAAAGAAAGCGUAAUAGCUCACUGGUCGAGUCGGCCUGCGCGGAAGAUGUAACGGGGCUAAACCAUGCACCGAAGCUGCGGCAGCGACACUAUG